GGGUUGUGAGGUUAAGCGACUAAGCGUACACGGUGGAUGCCCUGGCAGUCAGAGGCGAUGAAGGACGUGCUAAUCUGCUAAGCGUCGGUAAGGUGAUAUGAACCGUUAUAACCGGCGAUUUCCGAAUGGGGAAACCCAGUGUGAUUCGUCACACUAUCAUUAACUGAAUCCAUAGGUUAAUGAGGCGAACCGGGGGAACUGAAACAUCUAAGUACCCCGAGGAAAAGAAAUCAACCGAGAUUCCCCCAGUAGCGGCGAGCGAACGGGGAGCAGCCCAGAGCCUGAAUCAGUGUGUGUGUUAGUGGAAGCGUCUGGAAAGGCGCGCGAUACAGGGUGACAGCCCCGUACACAAAAAUGCACAUGCUGUGAGCUCGAUGAGUAGGGCGGGACACGUGGUAUCCUGUCUGAAUAUGGGGGGACCAUCCUCCAAGGCUAAAUACUCCUGACUGACCGAUAGUGAACCAGUACCGUGAGGGAAAGGCGAAAAGAACCCCGGCGAGGGGAGUGAAAAAGAACCUGAAACCGUGUACGUACAAGCAGUGGGAGCACAGAGCAAUCUGUGUGACUGCGUACCUUUUGUAUAAUGGGUCAGCGACUUAUAUUCUGUAGCAAGGUUAACCGAAUAGGGGAGCCGAAGGGAAACCGAGUCUUAACUGGGCGUUAAGUUGCAGGGUAUAGACCCGAAACCCGGUGAUCUAGCCAUGGGCAGGUUGAAGGUUGGGUAACACUAACUGGAGGACCGAACCGACUAAUGUUGAAAAAUUAGCGGAUGACUUGUGGCUGGGGGUGAAAGGCCAAUCAAACCGGGAGAUAGCUGGUUCUCCCCGAAAGCUAUUUAGGUAGCGCCUCGUGAAUUCAUCUCCGGGGGUAGAGCACUGUUUCGGCAAGGGGGUCAUCCCGACUUACCAACCCGAUGCAAACUGCGAAUACCGGAGAAUGUUAUCACGGGAGACACACGGCGGGUGCUAACGUCCGUCGUGAAGAGGGAAACAACCCAGACCGCCAGCUAAGGUCCCAAAGUCAUGGUUAAGUGGGAAACGAUGUGGGAAGGCCCAGACAGCCAGGAUGUUGGCUUAGAAGCAGCCAUCAUUUAAAGAAAGCGUAAUAGCUCACUGGUCGAGUCGGCCUGCGCGGAAGAUGUAACGGGGCUAAACCAUGCACCGAAGCUGCGGCAGCGACACUAUGUGUUGUUGGGUAGGGGAGCGUUCUGUAAGCCUGUGAAGGUGUACUGUGAGGUAUGCUGGAGGUAUCAGAAGUGCGAAUGCUGACAUAAGUAACGAUAAAGCGGGUGAAAAGCCCGCUCGCCGGAAGACCAAGGGUUCCUGUCCAACGUUAAUCGGGGCAGGGUGAGUCGACCCCUAAGGCGAGGCCGAAAGGCGUAGUCGAUGGGAAACAGGUUAAUAUUCCUGUACUUGGUGUUACUGCGAAGGGGGGACGGAGAAGGCUAUGUUGGCCGGGCGACGGUUGUCCCGGUUUAAGCGUGUAGGCUGGUUUUCCAGGCAAAUCCGGAAAAUCAAGGCUGAGGCGUGAUGACGAGGCACUACGGUGCUGAAGCAACAAAUGCCCUGCUUCCAGGAAAAGCCUCUAAGCAUCAGGUAACAUCAAAUCGUACCCCAAACCGACACAGGUGGUCAGGUAGAGAAUACCAAGGCGCUUGAGAGAACUCGGGUGAAGGAACUAGGCAAAAUGGUGCCGUAACUUCGGGAGAAGGCACGCUGAUAUGUAGGUGAAGUCCCUCGCGGAUGGAGCUGAAAUCAGUCGAAGAUACCAGCUGGCUGCAACUGUUUAUUAAAAACACAGCACUGUGCAAACACGAAAGUGGACGUAUACGGUGUGACGCCCGGUGCCCGGUGCCGGAAGGUUAAUUGAUGGGGUCAGCGCAAGCGAAGCUCUUGAUCGAAGCCCCGGUAAACGGCGGCCGUAACUAUAACGGUCCUAAGGUAGCGAAAUUCCUUGUCGGGUAAGUUCCGACCUGCACGAAUGGCGUAAUGAUGGCCAGGCUGUCUCCACCCGAGACUCAGUGAAAUUGAACUCGCUGUGAAGAUGCAGUGUACCCGCGGCAAGACGGAAAGACCCCUGAACCUUUACUAUAGCUUGACACUGAACAUUGAGCCUUGAUGUGUAGGAUAGGUGGGAGGCUUUGAAGUGUGGACGCCAGUCUGCAUGGAGCCGACCUUGAAAUACCACCCUUUAAUGUUUGAUGUUCUAACGUUGACCCGUGAUCCGGGUUGCGGACAGUGUCUGGUGGGUAGUUUGACUGGGGCGGUCUCCUCCUAAAGAGUAACGGAGGAGCACGAAGGUUGGCUAAUCCUGGUCGGACAUCAGGAGGUUAGUGCAAUGGCAUAAGCCAGCUUGACUGCGAGCGUGACGGCGCGAGCAGGUGCGAAAGCAGGUCAUAGUGAUCCGGUGGUUCUGAAUGGAAGGGCCAUCGCUCAACGGAUAAAAGGUACUCCGGGGAUAACAGGCUGAUACCGCCCAAGAGUUCAUAUCGACGGCGGUGUUUGGCACCUCGAUGUCGGCUCAUCACAUCCUGGGGCUGAAGUAGGUCCCAAGGGUAUGGCUGUUCGCCAUUUAAAAGUGGUACGCGAGCUGGGUUUAGAACGUCGUGAGACAGUUCGGUCCCUAUCUGCCGUGGGCGCUGGAGAACUGAGGGGGGCUGCUCCUAGUACGAGAGGACCGGAGUGGACGCAUCACUGGUGUUCGGGUUGUCAUGCCAAUGGCACUGCCCGGUAGCUAAAUGCGGAAGAGAUAAGUGCUGAAAGCAUCUAAGCACGAAACUUGCCCCGAGAUGAGUUCUCCCUGACUCCUUGAGAGUCCUGAAGGAACGUUGAAGACGACGACGUUGAUAGGCCGGGUGUGUAAGCGCAGCGAUGCGUUGAGCUAACCGGUACUAAUGAACCGUGAGGCUUAACCUUACAACGCCGAAGCUGUU
rnacentral:rRNA from 1 species